UACAGAGGUGGCAAGCGUUGUUCGGAAUUACUGGGCGUAAAGGGCGCGUAGGCGGUUCGUUAAGUCCUGUGUGAAAGCCCCCGGCUCAACCGGGGAACGGGCGCCGAAACGCCCCGUCUGGAGGGACGUAGGGGGACCUGGAACUUCCGGUGGAGCGGUGAAAUGCGUUGAGAUCGGAAGGAACGCCCGUGGCGAAAGCGAGGUCCUGGACGUCUUCUGACGCUGAGACGCGAAAGCUAGGGGAGCGAACGGG
rnacentral:rRNA from 1 species